rnacentral:rRNA from 1 species
GGAACAGCCGCAGCAAUCUGCAGGGAUGACAGGGGUAAUUACCUGGGCAGCUCAGCUUUGGUGAUCCAAGGGGUUUGUGAUGUGGCGACACUGGAGGCGCUAGCCUGUAGGGAAGCCCUCGCGCUUGCUGAAGACUUGCAUAUUCAGCAAUUCAUCAUAGCAUCAGACUCACGAGAAGUGAUCAACGACAUAAACAACUCCUACAGAGGGAAGAAUGGAGCGAUCAUCUCAGAGAUUAACCACCGAACUUCUGGUUUCAACUGUUCUUUUAAGUACGAGGGACGACAGUCGAACGUCGAUGCCCAUAGAAUAGCUAGAUCCUCUCUUUCUUUACAGCAGGGGCGCCAUACUUGGCUUGUUCAUCCCCAUGCAAACUGUAUUCCACAAACUGUGGCUUUUGAUCAAUAA